CCCGCUGAACUUAAGCAUAUCAAUAAGCGGAGGAAAAGAAACUAACAAGGAUUCCCUUAGUAACUGCGAGUGAAGAGGGAAAAGCUCAAAUUUAAAAUCUGGCAGUUAUUUGCUGUCCGAGUUGUAAUCUAGAGAAGCGUUAUCCGCGUUGGACCGUGUAUAAGUCUCCUGGAAUGGAGCGUCAUAGAGGGUGAGAAUCCCGUCUUUGACACGGACUACCAGGGCUUUGUGAUGCGCUCUCAAAGAGUCGAGUUGUUUGGGAAUGCAGCUCUAAAUGGGUGGUAAAUUCCAUCUAAAGCUAAAUAUUGGCGAGAGACCGAUAGCGAACAAGUACCGUGAGGGAAAGAUGAAAAGAACUUUGGAAAGAGAGUUAAACAGUACGUGAAAUUGUUGAAAGGGAAACGCUUGAAGUCAGUCGCGUUGACCGGGAAUCAACCUUGCUUUUGCUUGGCGAACUUCCUGAUUAACGGGUCAGCAUCAAUUUUGACCAGUGGAAAAAGUUCGAGGGAAUGUGGCAUCUUCGGAUGUGUUAUAGCCCUUGGUCGUAUACACUGGUUGGGAUUGAGGAACUCAGCACGCCGCAAGGCCGGGUUUUAACCACGUUCGUGCUUAGGAUGCUGGCAUAAUGGCUUUAAUCGACCCGUCUUGAAACACGG
rnacentral:rRNA from 1 species